GGGCCCGUAGUGUAGCCUGGUUAACACGUCGCCCUGUCACGGCGAAGAUCGCCAGUUCAAAUCUGGUCGGGCCCG
rnacentral:tRNA from 1 species